AAGAGUUUUUUUAUUCAUAUUUAUGUUUAUUUUGUUAUAAGAAUCUCAAAAUGAUGAAAUUUUGAAUUUUUUUCACAGUCAUAUUUAUUAAAUAUAUAGAAAUCUAUCUUGCAAAAUUUUAAUUNNNNNNNNNNNNUUCAUCUUUUGUUAAAAAAUUUAUCGAAAUUCUCCUAUUGAAGUUUAGAAUUUUUAACAAAAGAUGAGUUGACUUAAAAGCAGAGACUAAAAGUCGUUACGAAAAAUAAGACACAUGAAUUGACUAAAAAGCAGAGACUAAAAGUUAUUACGAAAAAUAUUUGAGGACCAAAAUUUGUUAAAAAAAAAUUAUAAAGAGUAAAAACGAAAUUUGAGAUAUUUAUAAAAAUAAAAAAUUUAUUUAACUCUUUAUAAAAUUUGCAAUUUUUUAAUAUAAAUUAUAAAAAAUGUCUUUAUAGUCGUAAAAAGUCAAUAAUGAAAAAUUGUAGAUAAAUAGUGGAAUUAUCAUGAACCUUUAAAGU
rnacentral:lncRNA from 1 species